rnacentral:rRNA from 1 species
UACGUAGGGGGGCAAGCGUUGUCCGGAAUUAUUGGGCGUAAAGAGCUCGUAGGUGGUUUGUCGCGUUGUUCGUGAAAACUCACAACUCAAUUGUGGGCGUGCGGGCGAUACGGGCAGACUGGAGUACUGCAGGGGAGACUGGAAUUCCUGGUGUAGCGGUGGAAUGCGCAGAUAUCAGGAGGAACACCGGUGGCGAAGGCGGGUCUCUGGGCCGUAACUGACGCUGAGGAGCGAAAGCGUGGGGAGCGAACAGG